CCAACAGGGAUUGCCUCAGUAACGGCGAGUGAAGCGGCAACAGCUCAAAUUUGAAAUCUGGCCCCAGGCCCGAGUUGUAAUUUGCAGAGGAUGCUUCCGGUGCGGCGCCGUCCAAGUCCCCUGGAACGGGGUGCCACAGAGGGUGAGAGCCCCGUCGGGUCGGCCGCUAAGCCUAUGUGAAGCUCCUUCGACGAGUCGAGUAGUUUGGGAAUGCUGCUCUAAAUGGGAGGUAGACCCCUUCUAAAGCUAAAUACCGGCCAGAGACCGAUAGCGCACAAGUAGAGUGAUCGAAAGAUGAAAAGCACUUUGAAAAGAGGGUUAAACAGUACGUGAAAUUGUUGAAAGGGAAGCGCUUGUGACCAGACGUGCGCCGGGCGUUCAGCGGGCGUUCUCGCCCGUGCACUCGCCCCGGCGCAGGCCAGCGUCGGUUCGGAUGGGUGGACAAAGGUGCCAGGAACGUGGCUCCCUCGGGAGUGUUAUAGCCUGGUGCGUCAUGCCCCCGUCCGGACCGAGGUUCGCGCUCUGCAAGGACGCUGGCGUAAUGGUCCCCAGCGGCCCGUCUUGAAACACGGACCAAGGAGUCGAGGUUUUGUGCGAGUGUCUGGGUGUCAAACCCGCACGCGUAAUGAAAGUGAACGCAGGUGGGAGCUUCGGCGCACCACCGACCGAUCCUGAAGUUUUCGGAUGGAUUUGAGUAAGAGCAUAGGGCCUCGGACCCGAAAGAUGGUGAACUAUACUUGGAUAGGGUGAAGCCAGAGGAAACUCUGGUGGAGGCUCGCAGCGGUUCUGACGUGCAAAUCGAUCGUCAAAUCUGAGUAUGGGGGCGAAAGACUAAUCGAACCAU
rnacentral:rRNA from 1 species